rnacentral:lncRNA from 1 species
AAAAUUUUGAGUGUUAAACAAUUUGGUUUUGAGUUGCAAUUAGUUCCAUUUGUUUGUGAGAAUUAUUUUUGUGCUGUGUAAGAGAGUUUCAGUGUUUAUUUUGAGAUGCUCGAGACAUAUCCGUGGAUGAUUAGGUCUUUUACUCUCUUCAUCAAGGAUGGGUUUUACAAGAAACGGAAAAAAAAGGUGAUCCAAUGUCUAAUAAUUGUGUUCAGGCGCUAUCUUUCUUGAGCUUCUAUAUUUUUCUCUUUUUUUUUUUGUUUUUUUUUUUAUAUUCUUGAUGUUUUGUUUCUUGACCUUGCAAGACUUUUGAAUGGAUCCGGCGCUCUUAUGGCCGCCCUCUAGUCCGUUUAGAUUUGUGUAGGUUGUGUCCAACUUCAUCAUCCCUCCCAUCUUCUGUAUUUUUGUUUAUCCCUCUUGAGCUUGCCUUUGCAGUAAUGUAAUAUUUGUGGGCCAUUUUACUCAUGUGUCCAAUGUGAUUUGCCACUCCUAAUGUUAUUUCAUGUGAUG